UCCGCCUUAGUGUAAUGGCAGCACCCCGGUUUUUGGUACCGUUAGUCUAGGUUCGAGUCCUGGAGGCGGAG
rnacentral:tRNA from 1 species